rnacentral:lncRNA from 1 species
GUGGGAACGCGGCCGCGGACCUGGUACCCCAGAGCAGCGAGCGGGUGGGGAGCAGCCGGGGCGAGAAUGAGCGCAAUCUUGCUAACCCCUGCGGAGGGAGCGCGCGGGCGCCAACGCGGGCGCGCGGGGGCGGGCCCUGGACCUGGACCUUGGGUUUCGGCCCUCCUCCGCGCCCCGCGGUCUCGCGGGCGAAGUUUCAGUCCUGAGUGUAAAGAAUAACCCCAAGCGCGUGGCUAAGUGCGAGCAGGCGCGUGUGACGUCGGGAGGCGCCGCGGCUCCUCGGCCGCCCCACUCGGUGGUCCCCUGUCUGGAUCCAAACUGCUGACUGGCUGACCCGAGUGGUCACAUUUGCCCUCUGGGGCUUUUGAAAACCUUAAAUCAAAAUUGCUUUUGAAUCUGACAACUCCUGAGGCUACUUUCGCGGCCUCGGGGCUGUUUCAUAUAAGGACGCGAGUUUUCCUGAUCAGGUCUGUCGGCCACGUUACGAUUUCCAAUUUGCGAUCCAUCAGUUACUUCCAUUGGGUCUUCAGCCCCCAGGGACUGUGGAUCCUAGACCCCGCGGAGAAGCCCGUGGACUGGAGCUGUGUCAGCUCUGAUGGAACAAAAACGGAGGCACAGAGAGGUCAAUUGAUUGGUCUAAUGACACAGAUCUAGCAAGUGGUGGAACCAGGACUGAAUCCAGCAGUGGAGACAACUCGCAACAUCAGCAACACAUUUGGCCCUGGAACUGCUAAUGAAUGUACAGUGCAGUGAUGGUUCAAAAAGUUUUGCAAAGGAGACAAGAGCCUUGAAGAUGAGGAGCAUGGUGGCGGGCCAUCAGAAGUUGACAGUGACCAAUUGAGAGCAAUCAUCGAAGCUGAUCCUCUUACAACUACACAAGAAGUUGCAGAAGAACUCAAUGCCUACCAUUCUAUGGUCACUUGGCAUUUGAUACAAAUUGUAAAGGUGAAAAAGCUGAAUAAAUGGGUGCCUCAUGAGUGAAAAUCAAAAAAAUCAUCAUUUUGAAGUGUCAUCUCCUCUUACUCUUUGCAACAACAAUUUGCAAGAACCAUUUCUUGAUCAGAUUGUGACAUGUGACGAAAAUUGGAUUUUAUACAACUGGCAAUGGCCAGCUCAGCAGUUGGACCGAGAAGAAACUCCAAAACACUUCCCAAAGCCAACCUUGCACCAAAAAAGGUUAUCGUCAUUGUUUGGUGGUCUGCUGCCAAUCUUAUCCACUACAGCUUUCUGAAUCCCGGCAAAACCAUUAUAUCUGAAAAUUAUGCUCAGGAAGUCUAUGAAAUGCACUGAAAACUGCAAUGCCUGGAGCUGGCAUUGGUCAACAGAAAGGGCCCAAUUCUUCUCAAAACAGUGCCUAAUCACACGUCACACAACCAACACUUCAAAAAUUGAACAAAUUGUACUAUGAAGUUUUGUCUAAUCUGCAAUAUUCACUUGACCUCUCACCAACUGACUACCACUUCUUUAAGCAUCUCAACAGCUUUUUGCAGGGAAAACACUUCCACAACCAGCUGGAUGUAGAAAAUGCUUUCCAAGCAUUCACUGAAUCUCAAGGCACAGAUUUUUAUGCUACAGGAAUAAACAAACAUUUCUUGUUGGCAAAAAUGUGUUGAUUGUAAUGGUUCCUGUUUUGAUUAAUAAAGAGGUGGUUUGAGCCUAGUUAUAAUGACUGAAAAUUCAUGAUCUGAAACUGCAAUUACUUGUGCACCAACCUAAUAUGAUCAUCUCAAUAGAUGCAGAAAAAGCACUUGACAAAAUUCAGCAUCUUUUUAUAAUUAAAACCCUCAGCAAAGUUGGCAUAGAAGGGAUAUACCUCAAGGUAAUAAAAGCCAUCUAUGAAAAACCUACAGCCAGAUUAUACAGAAUGGCGAAAGAUUGAAAGCAUUUCCCAUGAGAACUGAAAAAGACAAAGAUGCCCACAUCUACCACUUCUAUUCAAUAUAGUACUGGAAGUCCUAGCCAGAGCAAUCAGACAUGAGAAAGAAAUAAAGGGCAUCAAAAUCAGUAAAGAGGAAGUUGAACUGUUGCUGUUUAGUGGUGAUAUGAAUGUACACCUAGAAAACCCUAAAGAGUCAUCCAAAAAACUGCUAGAUCUGAUAAAUGAAUUCAGCAAAGUUUCAGGAUACAAAAUCAAGGUACACAAAUUAGUAGGACUACUAUACACCAACAAUGACCAAGCUGAGAAACUAACCGAGAACUCAAUCCCUUUUACAACAGCUGCAAGAAAUUAAAACACUUAGAAAUAUACUUAACCAAGAAGGUGAAAGAUCUGUACAAGAAAAACUACAAAACCUGCUGAAAGAAAUCAUUAAUGACUCAAACAAAUGGAAACACAUCCCAUGCUCACAGAUACGUAGAAUCAAUGGUGUGAAAAUAACCAUACUGCCAAAAGCAGUUUACAGAUUGAAUGCAAUUCCAUCAAAAUACCACCAUCAUUCUUCAUAGAACUAGAAAAAACAAUCUGAAAAUUCACAUGAAACCAAAAAAAGAAAAGACCCCACAUAGCCAAAGCAAGACUAAGCAAAAGAACAAAUCUGGAAGCAUCACAUUACCCAGCAAAACAGCAUGAUACUGGUAUAAAAAUAGGCAUGUAGACCAAUGGAACAGAAUAGAGAAUCCAGAAAUAAAGCCAAAUACUUGCAGCCAACUGAUCUUUGACAAAGCAAACAAAAACAUAAAGUGGGGAAAAGUCACCCAAUAUCAACAAAUAGAGCUGCGAUAAUUGGCAAGCUACAUUUAGAAAAAUGAAAUGGAUCCUCAUCUCUCACCUUAUGCAAAAAUCAACUCAAGAUGGAUCAAAGACUUAAAUCUAAGACCUGAAACUAUAAAAAUUCUAGAAGGUAACACUGGCAAAACUCUUCUAGACAUUGGCUUAGGCAAAGAGUACAUGACCAAGAACCCAAAAGCAAAUGCAACAAAAACAAAAGUAAAUAAAUGGGACCUAAUUAAACUAAAAAGCUUCUGCACAGUGAAAGAAACAAUCAGCAGAGUAAACAGGCAACCCACAAAAUGGGAGAAAAUACUCACAAAUUAUGCAUUUGACAAAGGACUAAUAUCAAGAAUCUACAAGGAACUCAAAUCAGCAAGACAAAACAAAUAAUCUCAUCAAAAAGUGGGCAAAGGACAUAAAUAGACAAUUCUCAAAAGAAGAUAUACAAAUGGCCGACAAACACAUGCAAAGAUGCGCAACAUCACUAUCAGGGAAAUGCAAAUCAAAACCACAACGAGAUACUACCUUACUCCUGCAAGAAUGGCCAUAAUUAAAAAAAAUAAUAAAUAGUAGGUGUUGGAGUGGAUAUGGUGAAAAGGGAACACUUUUACACUGCUGGUGGGAAUGUAAGCUAGUACAACCACUGUGUAAAACAGGAUGGAUAUUCCUUAAAGAACUAAAGUAGAACUACCAUUUGAUCCAGCAAUCCCACUGCUGGGUAGAGAGUCUACCCAGAGGAAAAUAAGUCAUUAUAUGGUAAAGACACAAGCAUAUGCAUGCAUUAUAAGUAAGAGGUAAGCUAUGAGAAUGCAAAGGCAUAAGAAUGAUAUCAUGGACUUUGGGGAUUCAGGGGGAAGAGGGAGGUGAGGGAUAAACAACUACACAUUGGGUACAUUGUACACUGCUUGGGUGAUGAGUACACCAAAAUCUGAGAAAUUACCACUAACGCAUUAAUCCAUGCAACCAAAAACUACCAGAAAAGGAUUGACAUUAAAAAAAGUUAAAAUAAAAUAAAAAUAAACUGAGAGGGAGGAAAGCCCUUUGAUUUAUGACACAGAAGCCAUAAACAAUAUGACUAUAGGAUAAUAUGUAUUUUUAAUUUUUUCAAUCUUACUAUAUCAGAAAAUUAUCAGACAUUUGAUAGUACAUCCUCCCCACAAGAAAGGUGUGGGAAAACAUCAUGCAUUCUUGGACUCAACAAAAAUUUGCUUUUAAAUACUAAUUUUAGAAUUAUAAUUGCACAUUUAAAUGAAACAUAUAUAAGGUCAUUGUAUACUUAAAUACUGCUUAUAAUAGCAAAAGACUGCAAACAACAACUUAAAAGUCUAUCAGCAGGAGUCUUGUUAAAGUAUUAUAUAAAUUACACAAUGAAAAACUAAAAAUUGUGCACCUGUAUAGAGAAUACCAAUGCUCUCUAAGCAUGGUGGAAAAUUGUGUUCAUAUUAUGCUAAAAAUUUUAUGGGGGAGAGAAAGAAAAUAUAUACCUAUAAAAUUUGUAGACUGUUUCUCAAAGGAUACAUGAGAAACUUGUAAGAGAGAAUGCAACUGGGGAGGAAAAAUGGGUGGUGGAGUAGAGGAAAGGGAAAUAAACUUAGUUUUCAUUAUUUAAAAAACCAUCUGUUUUGUUGAUUUGCUCUGCUUUUUGAGUUCUCUAUUUUAUUCAUUUUCACCCUAUUAUGUAUUAUUUGCUUCCUCUGUUUGCUCUGGUUUUAAUUUACUCUUCCUUUUCUAGUUUCUUUACCUUCGGGUUUAAAGUAUUGAUUUGAGAUCUUUAUUCUUUUUGAAAGUAAGUAUUUACAGUUAUAACUUUCCCUCUGAACACUGCUUUUAUUGCAUCCUAUGCAUUUUGGUAUGUUGUGUGUUUGUUUUCAUUCAUUUCAGAGUAUUUUCUAAUUUCCCUUGUUAUUUCUUCUUUGACUAAAUAAUUAUGUGAAGUGUAUCAUUUAACUUCUACAUAUUUGGUAAUUUCCCAAUUUUCCUGUUGUUACUUAUUCUAAAUUUACUUCUGUUGGGGUCAGAGAGCACACCUUGUACAACUGUAGUCUUUUAAAAUUUAUUAAAACUUGUUUUGUGGCUUAGUA